UUUUUUUUUUUUUCAGCUGCUUCCACAAGAUAUGGAAGUUUCUGGACCAGGGAUUGAGUCCAAACCACAGCUGAGACCUGUGCCACAGCUAUGGCAACACCAGAUCCUUAACCCACUGUGCCAGUUUGGUGCAGGUUGAAACUGCACCUCCACAGCAACCCGAGCUACUGGCUGAGUCAGAUCCUUAACCCACUGCACCACAGAAGAAACUCCUGGAUGGCAUUUCUAACCAGCCAUGAUGCUACAGAGUGGCUACCUCAAUACUUAAAAAGCAAAGUAUACUACAUCCAGGUAAAUCGCAUUGCUGAGCAGAGAGAGACAAAUAUCACAUGAUAUCACUUAUGUGAGGAAUCUUAAAAAAUGAGACAAAGGAAGUUAUUUACAAAACAGAAACAGACUCCCAGACAAAACAGAAAGAGACUUGCAGACACAGAAAACAAACUUAUGGUUACCAAAGCGGAAGUGGGGGAGGGAUAGAUUAGAAGUUUGGGUUUAAUAUAUAUACACUUCUGAUACACUUCUAUACAUAAAAUAGAGAGUUCUUAUUGUGGCUCAGCAGGUUAAGAAUCUGACUAGUAUCCAUGAGGAUUCAGGUUUGACCCCUGGCCUCGCUCAGUGAGUUAAAAAGAAUCCAGCAUUGCUGCAAACUUCUGUGUAGGUCGAAGAUCUGGCAUUGCUGUGGCGGUGAUGUAGGGUGGCAGCUGCAGAUCCGAUUCGACCCCUAGCUUGGGAACUUGCAUAUGCUGCAGUGGGUAAAUAAAAGCUAUUAUAGAGUAGUUUUCUUUGAAAAUCAACUGGCAAUUUAUAGAUGGCGGGCAAUAAGAAUUUGAGAAGCAUUAUGCAGGGAACUUGUAAAGCAAGAGAAGAACCUGUAAGGAGUUAGUUCUUCAGGAGAGGUAAAAUCAGGAGAGGUAAAACAGAAAAUAAGGGAAAUUACUUAAUUGGGGUAGAAAGAAAUGCAAGAGACAGUCCUAAAAGCAAAUGAGUUGGCCUUAUUUUUUCCUCCUCUAUCUUUACUAAGGAAACAUUACCAAGAGCGCUACUUUUAAAUUAUCGGUUUUUUAUAGGCAUUAUUUUUAGAGUAGUUUAUCUUCUGAUUCACAGAGGUUAACACUAUUGGACCCACUGAAAAGCUGAAAAUAAUUGAAAAGCAUAACAUACUAUACAGAUAGAAGAUGAUGUUAUUCUUAAGAAUAAAUUCUGAAAAGUGCCCAGGACCUCGUUAACACAUCAGAAAGAGAGGAAUCAACAGAACUUGAUCAACAUGGGUUUUUAAAGAAUAUCAAGGGUAAAAUGGUGUAACUGUUGGCAAAGUUGUGUGCCCUGUUAUGUCCAGCCUUCCCAAGGACUGAUGGAUUGCCUAUCUGAAUUCUAUCUAAAUGAAGAACUGCAAGCAUAGCGGUGGAAACUUCGAGAUAAAGAAUAUCACACGUACUGGAUAAACCAGUUGAAUUUGUAAUUAAAUGGCAGGACCCUUGAAAAAUGUAUAAACAACCUACUGGGAAAAAGGCACCAUAGCUUAUAAGGGAAAUUCACAGGCAAAGAUUAUGAGGUCUUUAGAGAAAUAAAGACUAUUUGGUUUGCCAAAGGGAAAACCAGUGGGUAAAAAUUUUAAGUACAAAACUUGCCAACAAUCCUUCUAUGCAAAGACAUUGCCUAUGAUUUAAUAAGAAAUUUUGACAGGGUCCACUUUGGAUUGGCACUUCUUAAAAAAAAAAAAAAAGAUAGGGACCUGGCUUAAAAUGAGAAAACAGAGAAUAUGAAUCAGUUAAGUGUGUCUUAAUUUGGAGAAGCUUGAACAGCAGGGUUUCUGAGAUCCCUCUGUGCUGAGAUAAAUAUAUUUAAAAGCUGUGUAAGUACUCUGAAAGACAAUACCAGGUUCAUCAAUGAUACUGAGUUCCUCC
rnacentral:lncRNA from 1 species